rnacentral:lncRNA from 1 species
CUCUGACUGGGGGUGGAAGAGGAAUGAACAAGUCCACCCCAGCGUAAAAAUAAGAUGAAAAUAUAAAAGAAUGUCAGUGUUGAAGGUUACUCCUUUUGAUUUUGCCAAUAUCCCGGAACCAUGUGAGCACAUGAACAUUCCAAAGAAGAAGAUACCUCCAGGUUCUUCAGAUGAGUCUCACUCUGUUGCCCAGGCUGGAAUACACUGGCACCGUCUCAGCUCACUGCAACCUCCGACUCCCUGGUUCAAGCGAUUCUCCUGCCUCAGCCUCCCAAGUAGCUGGGAUUACAGGCUAUAAAAGUAUUUACAGAGGAGAGGGAAAGAGAGCACAGUGGAGAGAUGCCUUGGGAGAGAGCUGUUACUGGCCAUGGUGUCAUUCUUCUUCCACAGGGAGAAGCAGAUCCAAACUGAGAAGGGAGAAGAUGUGAUAGUUGAUAUCACAACAAGCUUGAGUUUUGAUUAAUAUCUUGGACAGGACAUUCUAUGUUCCAAAUAGAGAUUGUGUGUUACAAAGUGACUGCAGGACCAAAAAUGAGUAGCAAAUUCAUGAACCUCUUAGAUUUUUUUAAUUUAGGACAUGAUGAGAUUACUGCCAGUGACUCAACUUUUAAAAUACAAGGAAUAACUAAAUAAAUAAAGUAAAAUUGCACUU